GGCUAACGCUGGCGGCGCGCCUAACACAUGCAAGUCGAACGAGGCUCUUUUGGUUUACUAGAAGAUGUCCUAGUGGCAGACGGGUGAGUAACGCGUGAGCAAUGUGCCUUUUUUCUGGGGAUACCGUUUGGAAACGAACGUUAAUACCGAAUGUGGUCAUCGCAGGGCAUCCUGUGUUGAUUAAACUGUUAGGGAGAGAAGAGCAGCUCGCGUACUAUCAGCUAGAUGGUGGGGUAAUGGCCUACCAUGGCGACGACGGUUAACUGGUCUGAGAGGAUGAUCAGUCACACUGGAACUGAGACACGGUCCAGACUCCUACGGGAGGCAGCAGUGAGGAAUCUUGCACAAUGGGGGAAACCCUGAUGCAGCGACGCCGCGUGAGGGACGACGGCCUUCGGGUUGUAAACCUCUGUCAGUAGGGAAGAAGUAUGACGGUACCUACUGAGGAAGCUUCGGCUAACUACG
rnacentral:rRNA from 1 species